CCAAUAGCGUAUAUUAAAGUUGUUGCAGUUAAAAAGCUCGUAGUUGAAUUUCGGGAUCAAUAUGUCGGUCGUGCCUCCGGUACGUACUGGCAUCAUUGAUUUCUCCCUUCUGACAAACCAUGAUGUCAUUAAUUUGGUGUCAUGGGGAGUCAGGACUGUUACUUUGAAAAAAUUAGAGUGUUUAAAGCAGGCUCACGCUUGAAUACAUUAGCAUGGAAUAAUGAAAUAGGACGUUUGACCCUAUUUUGUUGGUUUCUAGGAUCAACGUAAUGAUUAAUAGGGAUAGUUGGGGGCAUUAGUAUUCAAUUGUCAGAGGUGAAAUUCUUGGAUUUAUUGAAGACUAACUACUGCGAAAGCAUUUGCCAAGGAUGUUUUCAUUAAUCAAGAACGAAAGUUAGGGGAUCGAAGACGAUCAGAUACCGUCGUAGUCUUAACCAUAAACUAUGCCGACUAGGGAUCGGAUGAUGCUAAUUUUUUAAUGACUCAUUCGGCGCCUUACG
rnacentral:rRNA from 1 species